AUGGAUCUUCUUAUUUCCAAUGAUGGGAAGUUAUGGAAACCAAAUCUGGAAGCUGGAGGAAGGGACAAGCUGUUGUUGCUUGAAAAGAAGUGUUUAAAAGUGGUCUGCGUCACAGGCACUACUGAUGACCAAGAAUUUGCAGCAGCAGCAAAGAUGAGUAUUGUUAGAACUCUGGUCUCAAAUCAGCUUGUAGUCAAGAGGAGGGAGAUUGGGUUUCGGUGGAGGGAGAGGGAGAGGCAGAGAGACAGUUUCUGGCGGGAUGUCGAGAGGGGGAGGAACUGGGGGACUAGAGGUAGGGAGCAUGAGAUGGAGUAUGGUGAUGUUAGGGAGAGGUAUAGGGAUUGGUUUUUGUAUGUAAGCUGCUCUUCUUGGGGGUUGUCAGCUAUUGGUGCUAUUGAAGGUAUCAGCAAGUUCAAGUUUGUGACUGGAUCAGUUAUCUGCCUCCUUGAACAAGACUUGAUGGAUUGUAACAAAGGCCUCACAACUAGAGGCUGCAGGAGGCUGCAGGGGCGAACAAGGAGCAUUGGAACUCAUGAUGGGAAAGGUAGUGGACUGCAAUUUUUGGUGAAUUUCUGCAUGGGUGAUCUAAUACGGAAAAUGGAUUAUUUCGAUAUUGUGGAGAUGAAUCCUUUUGCAUUGGCUGAUGGAAAGCCAUAUCCUUUGGAUAUGAGAGGAGGAGGUGCAAGAGUUAUAUACACGGACAUGAGCAAUCACAUAGGGGCACUCAAAGUCCUCUUCAAGAACCAGUUGCAACAAUCUCAGGUUGAGCAUCAGCUUCGCCCGGAAGUUGUAAUACAAAGUCAUCUUCGCCAUCCCAAUAUUCUACGUCUUUAUGGCUACUUUUAUGAUCAGAAACGAGUUUAUUUGAUAUUGGAAUAUGCCACCAAAGGUGAACUAUACAAGGAACUCCAGAAGUGUAAAUACUUUAGUGAAAGACACCGUAAUUUUCUUUUCGUAUGAGGUAUUUGCAGUAUGUUGCAUCAUUGGCCCGAGCACUUAAUUCAUCUAGAUAUCAAACCAGAAAACCUUCUCAUUGGUCAACAGGGUGAACUCAAGAUAGCAGAUUCAGUGCAUACAUUCAAUCACAGUCGGACCAUGUGUGGCACUCUUGAUUACCCCCGUCCUGAGAUGGUGUAAAGCCGAUUAGAUAUCUUUGAGUGAAAAUCUAUGGAGGAUUUGUUAACAUGUGCCUGGUUGAUUUUGGGCGGGAUCCAAAUUUUAGUUUUUCAGGUGUAUUCUUGAUGUUGUUAUGCUCGACUUUAUUGGCUUUUGUGUCUGCAUUUGAAUUUUUAUUGUGUUUUCAUUUGAAUUUUUUUUGGUGGCAUGAAAUUUGGUGUUUGAAUGCAAAGAGUGCAAUAUAAAUUUUCCCCAAGACGGAUUCGUGGGACUAUAGAUUUGGGAAGUUUCCCAAUCCUCUGCUCAGAUCGAAUCGAUAAGUUGAGUGCUUUUGAAUUUUCAAAUUUUUUCAUUCCGUUUUUGUGUGGUUUUUAUACUAUUUGUGAUUGAGCUUAUCAUUUCAAGAUGGAUAACCGUUCCCAUUACCUGAUUUGAGCUGAUUC